AGCGAACGCUGGCGGCAUGCUUAACACAUGCAAGUCGCGCGGGUGGUUUCGGCCAUCAGCGGCGGACGGGUGAGUAUCGCGUAGGAAUGUAUCCCGAGGUGGGGGACAACCCUGGGAAACUGGGGCUAAUACCGCAUGGGGCCUGUGGGUCAAAGCCUUAGGGCGCCUUGGGAGCAGCCUGCGUCCGAUUAGGUAGUUGGUGGGGUAAAGGCCUACCAAGCCUGCGAUCGGUAGCUGGUCUGAGAGGACGAUCAGCCACACUGGGACUGAGACACGGCCCAGACUCCUGCGGGAGGCAGCAGUGGGGAAUAUUGGACAAUGGGCGCAAGCCUGAUCCAGCAAUGCCGCGUGGGUGAAGAAGGUCUUCGGAUUGUAAAGCCCUUUCGGCGGGGACGAUGAUGACGGUACCCGCAGAAGAAGCCCCGGCUAACUUCGUG
rnacentral:rRNA from 1 species